GAUGUGCCAGAUGUGCAGACUAUCCUUGAGGAGGCCACUGGCAAUUGGCAGUUGAUUCCGAUUAGGUUCAGCCCCCUGUACUGUGGGCCUGUUGUGAUCAGGAACAAUGCCGGUCCGGUGGUUAAAGCUUGGAGAACUUUCCAGUUCAUCAGCCCCAUCAUCACCUACAUGCGUGGGGGAUCCCAGCAGGUGGUGGUGAGGAUGCACCAC